rnacentral:rRNA from 1 species
UACGGGGGGGGCAAGCGUUGUUCGGAAUUACUGGGCGUAAAGGGCUCGUAGGUGGCCAACUAAGUCAGACGUGAAAUCCCUCGGCUUAACCGGGGAACUGCAUCUGAUACUGGAUGGCUUGAGUUUGGGAGAGGGAUGCGGAAUUCCAGGUGUAGCGGUGAAAUGCGUAGAUAUCAGGAGGAACACCUGUGGUGUAGACAGCUUACUGGACCACUUCUGACGCUGAGACACGAAAGCGUGGGUAGCAAACAGG